ensembl:snRNA U6 U6 spliceosomal RNA
GUGCUCGCUUCGGCAGCAUAUAUACUAAAACUUGGAAUGUUCUCUGUAUCAUGGCUAGCAUGGCCCCUGCGCAAGGAUGACACGCAAAUUCGUGAAGCCUUCCAUAUUUUU